CGUGUAGGCGGUUCGGCAAGUCAGGGGUGAAAUGUCUCGGCUCAACCGAGGACGUGCCUUUGAAACUGCCGGACUUGAGGCCGUGAGAGGAGACUGGAAUUCCUAGUGUAGCGGUGAAAAUGCAUAGAUAUUAGGAAGAACACCAGUGGCGAAGGCGAGUCUCUGGCACGGUUCUGACGCUGAGGCGCGAAAGCUAGGGGAGCGAACG
rnacentral:rRNA from 1 species